rnacentral:tRNA from 1 species
GGGGUUGUGGCUCAGAGGAAGAGCGCUCGCCUGGCACGUGUGGGGCGCUGGGUUCAAUCCUCAGCAGCACACA